rnacentral:rRNA from 1 species
UACGGAGGGAGCAAGCGUUACUCGGAAUUAUUGGGCGUAAAGGGCGCGUAGGCGAUUUGAAAAGUCUUGUGUGAAAGCCCCGAGCUUAACUCGGGAAGUGCACAAGAAACUGUUGAAUUUGAGUUCCGGAGAGGAAGGCAGAAUUCCCGGUGUAGCGGUGAAAUGCAUAGAUAUCGGGAGGAACACCGGUGGCGAAGGCGGUUCUCUGGGCCUGUACUGACGCUGAGGAGCGAAAGCGUGGGGAGCGAACAGG